ensembl:lncRNA
GUGAGGGAUAGGAGACAAGUUAUGAAAGAAAGGGUCAGGGAGAGAAAUGUAGAGAAACAGCAUUCUAAUAUACUGUAACUAAUUAAAACCUAGGGAAGAACAAUUACAAGAACAGGUGUUUGUGAAAGGGCAUUGAGUUUCAACACCUGUGAUUUGCUCAGAAAGGCCCAGCAAGCACAGGUGAAACCAGUACAAAUUAGUUCUCCAGUUGCUGGGGGGUCCAGGAGAGUGACGGCCAAUCAGGGCCAAGUUGGCCUAAUUAAAUAAUUAUCAGCUGUUUCUGUGCUUAGUUUGAGUGAGGUGGGGGAAGAGGGUAUGUCAUUUAUGAAUGUUUUCUGGUAGUGAAAGGCAGGUCCUGGAGAAUGGCAUCCUACCUUAAGAACUGAUCCAAAGCUCACUGAAUCACAAAGAAAGAAUCCCAUCCAUGUCAGUGGAGUUUGCAUCAAUCCUGAAAUGUCAACAGAUGACCACUAAGUUACAGGGCUGCAAAAAUUCUAGCCUACAUCCAUCCUGGUCAUGGAAGGAGACAACUGAUGGUUGCUGUUCCACCACCAUGGUAUGUCUGAUCCUGUACACAUCUGAACCACGCUGUCUGACGAGGUGGUCCCCAGAAGUCUUUAUAUCUAACAGUGAUCAAAAGCCUGACACGCUAAACACUACAUAAAAGGGAUGGACGCAUGGUCUGGUUUCAGUUUUGAGAAUUUGAUAUGUGGGAGUAAUAAGUGUUAUGUUUCCAGUGGUAUCAAAAAGAAGCAGGGAAAGAUGCACGAUGAGAAAACAGGAUGGGAAAUAGCCUGUCCAAACAAAGAGCACAGACUAGAAAUACUGGAAAGGAUUACAUUGCAGUGGUGCACCCCCGAUGUCCUGCUGAGCAACAGAUGUUUCUGUGAUGACUGCAGAAUCCCAAUGACUAACCUCACAGGAAUGACUGAAUCCUUAUUCCUUCUGCCUAUCUUAGCAAUUCGUUCCAGCUCCCAUUUAUAUUCCUUGUAAGUGCAAUCACUGGACUUCCUUGAAGUGUUACAAAUUACCUGGCACUUCUUAAAUCAAUCCAUUAGGAUAUUAGCAUUUUCCCUGCCAAGUCAGUAACAAGCACUGCCUAGCCAUCUUGGUGAUAUUUGCCUAAUAACUGCCUUGUAGCGCUUACUAAUACAGCUAUUUCACAAUUUGUCAUCAUCUUUUUAUAACAAAAAACAACUAUUUCUCUAAAAUUAGGUUUUUAAUUAAACAUUAAUUUUCUUGAUAGCUAAGGCGGGGGGGGGGGCUGAAGGCAGAACAUUCGUUUUCAUUUUUCAUUACUUUCAUUUUACAGUCACUUUUCCCAUUUCAGCCACAAUCAUCAGAACCUGUUUCUAAUUUUGAUUUCUAAAAUCAAAAUAUAAUGAAAAAAUAUUACUGAAAUACAAGUUUGAUUACAAACUUGGAAAAUCCCUGUAGCUGUUCUAUGGAUUUUUAGGCCUACUUUUAAAAAUCAGAAUGUAUAUUGAAAUUUAAAUUUACACUUUUUUUUUCCCGCAGCCUAAUUUCUCUUUUCCUCUCAUAUUCACAAUCUUUUAGUAUGCAUACAUACAGAGACAGAUACUUAUAUAUGAAGAGAUGCAUGUGGGAAUGUGGAACCAUUUUAGAAAGAGAAGCACAGCUAUAUUCUAAGAGUCCUUCCAACAUCUCAACAUCUCAGUUUUUGGUUUUCCUGUUCUUUCCUGCCAGUACCUCAUCUGUUGUUUAUGACAGCAGUAUCAGAAACAGAGUAAUUCUUUAAACACUUGAAGCUAUUUUUAAUGUUUUGUUAAUAUUCACCAAUUCUAGCUGAAAAGUAUUAUUAAAAAGAUAAUAAGAAGUAAUUUCAGCCAUCAGAUUUGUCAGGAUUGCUCCAUAUAUCUCAAAUGGCAGACAUGCAUUUCUCCAGAGCGCUGUUGGGUUGGUUACCAAAAGGGAAAAGCCUUUAUGAUGCCCAUGAAAGAUUCAGAAUAGUAAACUUUAUCAGUCUUUGAAACCAAAUACACACAAAAUGCCACAAUAAGCAGGAGAACAAAGGCUCAUUUUUGUUUAGAUAAGGGAUUUCAAUUUUUGCUUUCAGACAACAUUGCGUGAAGUAACUAGGUCAGAGCUAUGCUAAAACCGCGCUUCGUGUAUCUGGUAUGUGCGCUACAUAACAGCUCUGUUUUGUAGAUCAGAUUCGACCUGAAUUAAACAUGAAGCUCAAAAAAUACAGUAAAACAAUAUUAAGAGAUCUGACUUACCAUAAAGUCAAAGCUUCCAUGCUAUGUGUGCAGCCAUCUCCUCCUCAUUGCUCAGUUCAGCACCGCUCACGGCACUCGGUGUCCCGCGGUGGUGGCAAAGCCUUGCUAUCGGAGGUGGCUCCUUCAUUGUGAAUAGGAGUGGUGUUUUGUCCUCUCUGAAGUCACAGAGUCAAAUAAUCAUAAAGGUUGGAAAAGACCACCAAGAUCUUCCAGUUCCACCAUCAACCCAUCCAUCUACACUAUGCCCACCAAGAGUUUCAGUGCUAUGAAAUUGAAAUGCAAAAGCACAAGGAAAUGAAAACAGUGAGUCUCAGUAUUAGCUUCAUUUCUGUAAGACUCAUAUCUAUCAUCCUCUCCUGCACUCUAUUAAUAACAUUUAUGCAGGAAUCUCUACAGAAUGGGCUGAGCAGCCUCGCAGCACCCAUAUAACCCAGAGACAAUAUAAAAAGGGGGGAAAAACUCCUUUAGAUGUUAAUUUGGAUAUCUUUAGCAGAAAAUUCAAAAUGUUUUCUUACAUAUGGACAUCUGAAAACAAAACACAACAGCACAAUAAAUGUGUGUAAAUAGUUCAUUAGUUACAGUAUAUUCUAUAGUAGGACAUUACAUGGUUCCUAGGUUUGACAGUUGCAAUAAAACUUGUUUGUGCCUUUUAAGUGGUUCGUUUCCAUGCAGCUCCUUACAAGGUGGCACCUUCCCAGCCUCUCUCAUUAAUCUACUGCUUCAGGUUCCAGAUAGCGAAAGGGAAACUCUGCAAAUGAGACUGAAGAUACGCUUUGUAAUUAAUACCCCUGUGUAAGAGGAUAAACUAUUUCAACUUUCAACUGUUAAUCUGGAUUUUUUGCAACUCUCUACUAUUUCUUUUUAAACUUCGUCUGCAUUUUAAGGAUAUUUCCAGAGAUGUGCAAAUUAUGAACCAGGUAGAUGCAUGCUCUGACUGCUUCCAUUAAUGUGUAUCUGCUAUGCAAAAGCAAUAGGCGUGAGAGGAGCUUUGCUGGCUCAGCAGGAGAUGUGCAUCAAAAAUGCCUUUGGACACAAGACAUAUGCAAACAUCUCUACUUUAAUCAAGGCAGGGCAUGUGCAUGAAAUUGGCAUUGCUGCCAACCAGGCUCUUUAUAUGCCAUCUUCAUCUGUUUGGCCACCCUACCCAAGCUACUGCAAUGGCCUUCAAUCAGCUUUUUGAAAAUCAUGGAGAAGAUCUGCACACAGGCACUGUAGACACAAAGCUGCUUUAUGUAAGAAGAAAAUGGCAGUAGUGGCAUUUUCACUUUUAAUGCAUCACCUCCAAAAUGAGGAAAUAACACAAGUUGCUAAUGUCCGUAUAAAUGAUAUAUGGGUACAUGUUAUAUAAUGCAUAAGCAUUUCAGAAGUACUUUCUUUCCCCAUUUUGAGGGAGGCUGACAGUUUUGCUUGUAAUUCAGACAAGUUUAAGGUUUCUUCUUUAACAUUUGGGGUAGAAAUCUGGAGCUGAGAGGAGGAAAGAACGUUCUUCGUAUUCUGUGUUAAGACACUUCUGAAUUAGUCCUCACUGUGGUUUUCCAGAAUUGGUUUACUGCUUUGUUGUACAAUUAGGUGCAAGUCUGGCAAUUAAUUUUCUGAGUCCUAAUGUACCAGUUGCCCCAGAGGACACUACUCAAAUAUUUGGGACAUUAAAUUCAGAGUUCUCCCAGGCACUAAAACCCGUGGAGCCAGCAGAGGCAACGGUUUGGUGGUACCCACCUUUCCCAAGAGCUCUUUCUAAGCUCCCACUCCCUCUCUCUCUGGCUUGCAGGGGCACAUUAACUCUUGACUUUUUGUUUGUAUCCCCAGAUGCUCCGUUAUGGCUAAGGAGUUCACCUUUUUGUCUCCCUAAUUGUCCAGGUGAUUAUCUUAAGUUAAACGCUAAUUUCUUUACAGGACGGACAAAGCUUCAAGUUUUUUGUUUUCUUUGCCAGACCUGCGGAAGCAUUUAAGUGCUUGAAAGCUUGUUCAUUUUCUCCAAAUGCUAUUGGUUGUGUGAAAGAUACUGUCUCUCCAAAUCAUGCCCUAUUGGUUUUCCUCUGACUAUUCUGCCUGCAUCCAGUGCACUCUAUCAGCUUUUGCCCACUAUUUUCUCUUUCUUACCUUAAAGUGGAUCCCUGUUUGUUGACUUGAUUUGUUGAACUGUUAUUCUGAAUCCUUCAGAAGGUUCUUCAUUGUUUAAUAAAAACUGGAUUGAAACUGAGAAUUCCAAACAUGACAUCCGAAGCCCACAAUUAAAUUAACAUUUAAUUAUGAUGCAUGACUACGAUCAGAUUAUGAUACCAGCAUUCAAACUCGCUCUUACAUUUCAUGGUUUCUUCUCUCCAUUUAAUAGUUACUUCUCAGAAGUCAAGUUAGAUAGUUCAUCAGGAUAGUACUUGUUAAAGUAUUUGCUCCUUCUCUAAAUAAGCAUCAUCUUCAUCAGAUCAAACCCCAAGGGGGUUUCAUAUUUAACUAUUUAAUCUAUGGGUAUCUCCUUUCAGUGGCAGGAACCAAAGAGCUGUAGGACCAAUGGGUUGUUUAGACUUAAAAGACAAAAAAAAAAAAAAAAAAACCCAAACAAACAAAUCAGACCAAAAAAAGAAAAAGAAAAAAAAACAACCAAAGUAACAAAUGCUUUCCACCAGAGUUUAGUUUCCAGGAAACAGGGAGAACUCCAGGAAACAAGAACUUUGACAUAAGCCAAGAGGUACCCUGUCAUAAUCAAACACAAGAUAAUUUACUAAAUACAGGAGUGCUGAGAUGAUCAUAAAAUCCUGCAGUCCUUUCUAGCUAUAAAUGUAAUUCAUUUUCUUAUAUAAGAUGCAUCUGAGGCAUCACUCUAGAAAAAUACGUCAUUUUCAAAUUAGCCAGGUUCAGCACCAGAAUUUAAUAUUCUCAUCCACAGUAUCAGUGUGAUUCUCAACAUGUAGGAGUGCUCCAGAAAUUCCUAUAUCAGUGCCUGAGUGACAAAAAUGAUGAACACUUAUAUAUAGAUUUUUCAACAAGACAUACCAAAUGGCUUCAUGAAGGAAACAUGUAGUUAUCUCCAUUUAACAGUGGGGGAAAAGGAGGCCCAGGAAAGUGCAGUGACUUUUUAAGGGUUACCCCAUCCCACCAGAGCUACUAACAGCCUCCGCUCUACGUCCUGUGCAUUUCAGUCUCAGAAGACCAUUCUUUAAAUUCUCAGAAACAUAAGAACAGUCAUUGCCCAGUGCUGGAAAAAGACACCAGAAAAGCACAGUGAAAUUAUGGAAUCAUAAAGGCUGGAGAAGACUACUAAGAUCACCCAGUCCAACCACGAACCCAUUCCCCCCCGUGUCCACUAAACCAGGUCCCUCAGUGCCACAUCUAUGCUUCUCCUGAACACCUCCAGGGACAGUGACUCCAUCACUUCCCUGGGCAGCCUGUGCCAAUGCCUCAUUGCUCUGAGAAGAAAUUCUUCCUGAUAUCUGACCUGAACCUCCCUUGGGGCAAUUUAAGCCAUUACCUCUCAUCCUGGAAAGGUCAGUACAGCUUUCUCAUGCUAUUUUUGCGAAGAAAAUCAGCCAUCUACUCUCUCAGUCCUUAAAUCAGAUGCUACUUGUUCCCAGCUCAGAUUCUUCCAGGUUGCUCAAUUCAAACAAAGCUGGCACGCUGCUCCAUUGUGUGAGGCACAUUCACUUUCCAGCCUGUUCUUAAGCUUCCUUCUUUGAAAGUGAAAUUUAUUACCUAGAGACACUGAGGUUUACCAUUUUUGCAUAAUCAUUCUGCUCUAAGAUGAGCACUUGGAACCCUGGACACUUCGAGGGUUUCUUUGCCUCAUACUGUAAGUCAAACAGGGAAAGAAGGCAGAUCUCUACUGUACGUUCUAAUAGUCAACUGAAAUUAAAAGCUAGCACCUUUUCUUUGGUAGAAACUGGCAGCUCCCCACAUCUGUUUGCUCACAUCCUGCUUCAUGCGAGUGUAACUGAGAUGAGUUGACCAGCAAAAGGGGUUGCCAAAGCAGGGAAGAAUAGACUGUAAUAAGGCACAAUGGGGCCUCCAGCUGGGAAGCUGUGCAUUUGAAAGACAGGGAAAGAGAGAUAUACAACAAAAUAGCAAUUUAUCCACAAUAAAUACAUGUUAAAAACAUCAAUUAGAGCUUGUCAUUAGAGAACUGCUGCAUCAGGUAUAUUUCAGGCAACUAAUGAUUAUUAAAAACCUCCUUAUUGAGUUAAGUUACAUUUCAUUAAAAUGUUCUCACCUAUUGGGCUUUUAAUUAGCACACAAUAAAUUAUCCAUUUAAAUAGCAAUUACUUUCUCUAGUCAAGUGCAUUAGAAGCACUUAUUUAUGGACUCUUAAUUAUAGUAGAAGCAAGAAACUCAACAGAACUACAGCACGUGCACGCAUACGUGCAUCACCACUACUAAAGUAGUUGCAGUGACAGGAGGUCAGUCAGCAAAAUUCAAAGCUGUCAUCCUCUUCUGCAACCCUCUGCAGUAAAGCGUCACAGACUCAUAGAAUGGCCUGGGUUGAAAAGUUGAAAAAGACCUCAAAGAUCAUCUAUAUUCAACCCCCCUGCCACAGGCAGGGUUGCCAGCCUCUAGACCAGGCUGCCCAGAGCCAAAGAACCUCCAUUCUUUGGAAACUAAACUAAGCUCAGUAAACACCCUGUUUACAUAUACCCUACAUUACCUAUGUAUUUAUACCCUAUGUAAACUGCACAUGGAAGAGCAAGGUGUGUAAAACAUCUCUUCCUUUAAUCUAACACUCUGCCAGCUUCCCAUGAGCUGUCAGUUCCCAAUAGCUGGUAACAGACGUGGCUCCAUGCUCACAUAUGCCCACAGGAAGCAUAAAGUGAAAAAGCAGAUGGUGUUAGCUGUGUCCAGAGCUGCCUUUCACCCCUAGAUAGGAAGAUCUCCUUUUAGUUGUCUGCCUGCAAAGUUGUAAAAUUUGAUCAAACUAAAACACCCCUCAGGAACAAAUGCAAAGUACAAAAGGAUACAAUUGCAAAGUGACAUAUAAACAGUGAACAAAUGGAUUCAGAUGUAAACAAUUUGAUAAAGAAGAGGAUUCGGAGAUCUAUAAAAAUAAACAGCCCCAGAACAGGCUGCAGACAUAAUUAAAUCAGUGAAAUGAAAUAUCAAAUGCUGGCAGCCCACAGACACUUUGAUGAUAAUAAUAGUAAAGACUCGGUGGAUGAAAAGCAAGAGAGAAAAUUGGUCUAUUAAAAAUAAUGGUGAACAGAAUGAAGACCGUGUAAUGGGAGGAAGGGCAUGUUACACAAUAAUUUCAGAAUUCUGCCAUUAUGUGAAAGGGAAAGAGGAAUUCUAAUUUCUUCUGCAUCAGUUAAUGGUGAAGCACCAGCCUUGGGAAAUUCAGCUCCUCCAGACAUGAAGCUGGACUCAGCCAGGCUCUGAAUUUGGCACAGCUGCUUCAUUCACUUUCAGAAAGGUACAUGAAUUGGAAACAGCUGAGGAAUUGGAACGAUACAUAAAAAUGCAGGAUGUGAACCACAUACAACAACAGUUUAUCUAUAGAACAAGCAGAUCUGCUUCCUCACAGUUCAUGGGCAUUUUCCCAACCAGAGAACAAGCAUAAAUUAAAGUAUAAAUUGUAUUCCCAUUAUAGUUAUACUGAGAUUACGUACGAAUGCGUAUAACUCAGUUAGGGAUAGGAACAGUGCGUUCCCUAGCAGGGCAAAUUUAUUCCUCCUAAGGAUCAGGAAGUCCAAAAUUAUCAACAUUGUCUGAAACUCUUCCCAGUGAAGUACACAAAUGGAAAUAUCAGUAAGUGGAAGAUACAGACCUUUGGAAAUCAGCGUUUGAUGGACAACACUGAUAAUGGAGUCAGGCCAUCUUGCUUCACAAGCACGCAGUACGCAACCUUGGAACAGUCUGGCUGCCACUUCCUGACAUUUAUAACAUUUCUCCUUCUAUUUACACGCUCUUAGCAGCUGCUGAACGCACUGCCCCAGGAAGCAGCUUCAGCAGCAGACAGGGAGACCACAAACAGGGUGGGAUAGAAGGGCUCCUCCUUUGGGGCUCCAUCUGCUUUCAUGGCUCUGCACACAAAUGCCACUCAUAAAUCCAGCAAAUACAAAGCAUAAAACGACGAUGCAUAAACACCUUCCUAAAUGGAUAAGGAAUAUACAUCAUUUAACCUGAUACUUUGCUUUAUUCACCUCAUCUGCCUUUUGGGAAUUGCUUAUUGUGUCUGAUAACACAGAAGGCAAAUACAGAAAAGAAUCUAGUUCCUCUGCUAACAUACUCAAAAGGCCACAAGAUAUCAUCAGAAGCGAAUCCUGUUGUUAAGAGGUGGAUGGGAAUGAAUAACUCAGAUUGCCAUUGUUCAGCUGCAGGAGAAAGGCAAAUGGCAAGCUCCGACUUCUGCAUCCCUGCACAUUUCUGCUCCUCUUGUUACUUCAUCCUCCCACUCACCGCCAUUGGUAUGUAAAUCAUGGCAUCUCGUCUGACAUCUGCAAGGGAAAUGUCAGCCAGCGCGAACUGCUGUUGCUCCCCUGGAUUCAGUGGAGACGCACUGAUUGGCACUCACUUAAGAUCUCUUCUGUGCUAACGGCCUGUGCAGAACCUCAUGUAAUGGGGCAUGGAGCUUUGAUCUUUGGAUAGGAACGCACCAAAAUAUUAAAAAUAUGAGUAAUGCUAUGCAUAUAGUAUGUUAUCGUGGGUUGUUUGAAAUCAGCAACAAGACAAAACAUCUGCUUAUUGAAGAAUGAAGGAGCUCAGUGCUAAGCAGCUGUUUAAUUAUCCUGCGCUCUGUGCUGUAACAAUGUACACACUGUGCUUAUAAAUCUGGAAUCAGCUCAGGGAGACAGGUUUCUGUUAGGAGCUAAGGAAUAAAACUACCACAGACAUGUCUUGAAUUGUCAGCUUUAACACACACAAAUCCAGAGAACAUCAACAUUUUCUUCCUACCUUCCAAGUAAGACACUCAUCCCAAGAGCUCAAACAUACAGCAUUUUUCCUCAAGCUAGUCCAACAAAAACAGCAUCAUCUUUGGGAUGCAAACUUGCAGAGAACAUAUUUAGCAUAACAUAAUGAAGGCUAUGGCAUUAAACAACCACUCUCAAAGUUCAUCAAAGUAAUUGCACUAGGUCUAGCCUUUUAAUUAGCCUUUUGUUCAUUGAUAAAUGAUCCAUGGAACUUCCAAGAAGAAACAAAUAGUAGAAAUCACAGUAUUUUUUCCUCAUUUUUUGAAAUAACUUCUUGAAUUUCAGUGACAGUAAAUGGUAAAUAAGUGGAAAUUUUCUGCUGAAUUCCUGUCCGUACAGCAUUCCUUAUGGAGCUGGAGUAAAUGUAAAAUAGGUAUCUCUCACACUUUAAAAUAUAUGGUCAGAUAUUAAAGGUCAGAAACUAGCUGAUGAAAUAAUUUUGUUGGCUGUGGUCAUUCAGCAAAUCCAAAAUAUCAAAUAUCAAAAUAGAGGUCUGCAUCUCUAUGGCAAAAGGAUCGCUCUGGCAGUGCAGCUACACAGACAGACAGCCUGGGUCCAGCUCCUGGGAACGUUCCUUGGCACCAUUUAACUUAUUAGUAGAGACACAGUGUCUGAGUCCCAGAACCAUAUGACAAGUCUGAUUUCCCAUGUUAUUCAUGAACUCUUAGAGGCCACCAUUCAACCUGUACUUGACUCAAGGUAGUUGAGAACUGUCCUGUGGGAUAAACCAUAUAGUAAGUUCAAAUGCAGCUACUUUUGGUUUUUAUAAAGUCAUAUUAGCUUCCUGAAAUGAAGUCUUAACCAGGAGGCUGUAAAGCAGUGGCUCAUCAGAAAAUCUACUGUAGCUUACUCUCUUUGCAGACUUCCUGGCCUGUGUAAAUUGAGACAUUAUAUCCAGAACUGGGUUCACAAAGCUAAGGUAGAGUGCAGAUCCUGACUGCUACAUCACAAUGCUCACUGAGCUGGGGGCUCAAACUAAUAGAGUCAGGCCAGAGAAGACGACAACAUUUCUCUCACAAUCCAGUAACGCCAGGCCCUGUACCAGUUUGAAGACCAUGGAACACAUUGUCAAUCUUGGCUGGACUGUCCCACCACAUCCACCAUACAGUUGGAAUUGGUGCCUUCCAACUUCCAUCUGUUCAGACGGACCGCGUAGGCAACAUUUUCCUAGCAGUGAUGCCACCGUAACAGCUGUGAAACAGUGGGUCGCAUCUGCUUGUGCAGAAUUUUUUGUGCACAGCACGCAGAGUCCUCUUCAUAGUUGGCAAAAAUACACAGCUAAUGGUGGUGACUAUGUUGAAAAAGUGUUUUGUAGCUGAAAAUGUGCUCUAUCAGUGUUAUCGUGUUCUUUGCAUCCAGUGUAGUUGCCACAGAAAUAAAGCAGCAUUUCUUUCAGAGCAACCUAUGUAUUUAUCAGAAGCUUUGCAAAAUGAUCAUAUUCCCAGUUCUGUCUGUUCCCUUGAGGAAAUGUACUCAUUAGUUUGAUUUCCAGCUUUCAUUUUUUUCUUUUUUUAACAGGCAACAAAUGACAAUUAUUGUUUACUUUGAAGUGUGAUCUUUAGCAUGAAUAAUUCCCCCAAAAGAAACAUCUGCUUCGCAGAUGAGUUAUGACAGCAGACAAUAUGCCUCUGUAUUUUGCAUCCAUACUUGAGUGGCAAAAACUGGAAUGGGAACCAAGUGUCCAGCAUCAUGGAUGCUGUCCUAUGAGGCCGAGAUUACUCCUCAAAGUGUUUUUGACUUCCAAAAGUAUUUCGUAGCAUUUUCUGAUGUUUUGUAGUUUGAAAGUCCUUGAUGCAAUUUCUUUGUGCCUCACAGAAUAUAUAUAUAUAUAUACACACACACACACACAUACACGACAGCUACCAGGCAUUUCCUGGCAUUCUGGAUGCCCCCAGACAAGCUGUGUGAGCAGCUGGUAAUCCUGGACAUUGAUGUUGGGAUGCAUUUUGUCUCUGGCUCUGUUAAAUAGUUUAUACCCAACUCAUGAAACAGGUUUCUUCCACUACUUUAGAAGAGCCUGGCUGGCAGCCCAUCAGCCCAGCUUGUUACGGCUGCUCUCUCUACGUCAAGAUGGAUUUCUAGUAAUGCUGGACCCCAGCCAAAAUACACCAUCUGAACUCCAGUCUGAACUUCAAACUUUUAGGUCUUUUAGCAUCCACAGCUGACAAUUGAUGGUACAGUAGAGUCAGGCACUGUUUUCAGAUCUGAAUUCCCAUUAUUGCUCUUACUGGUACACAUCACACAUUGAAAAAUGCAAGAUACAAAAAAACAACAACAAAAAAAACCAUCAGGUGUGUUGACUUGCAAACUCCUUAUGAAAAAAGAAAAAAUAUUUUCCAUGUCCUCAGUGAAUAGGUCAAGUAGCAGCUACACAGAAUAUUCAAGACACAUACAAAGAAAAAUCUCUCAGGAAAAGAGAUAUAGAAUACAGAUUGCCUGGAGGCAGAAUGAUCUCCAUCAAUGGUGAUCUUUGAGUACUGACUAGACAAACAACUGUCAGGACCAGAGCAGAUAUUCUGUUUGUAGGAGGAAGACUGGAUGACCUAUUGAGAGCCUGAAAUUUUGCAAAUUUGUCUUUUCCAGCAGCAGUGGAUGGACAAGCUCAUGUUGGAAAUAUCCUCUUGCAGGAAACUCCUCAUAUCUUUUCUUGCUUUUGCUUUACCAUAAAUUUGUUGUUGAUCCUUGAAAGCCUUUGCUGUCUCAUGACUGAAUAGCCAAGAGUUGUGACCAUCUAGCACAGAAGUGAGAUUUCAUCCCUAGGCCCUCAGGCAACCCACAGUCCUGCUACCCUUCUGUCUCACUUUGUUCCCUGAAAGAGGCCUGGCAGGUAACCACAGUUACCAAUUUCAAUUUAUAUAUAUAUAUAUAUAAAUAUAUAUAUAUAUAUAUAUUUUUUUUUUAGAGGAAAAAUAUGGGAGAGGGGAGAGCAAGGGGGAGAGAAAGAGAGAACAGAUGGCACCUAUCACAUGCUCUUUUCUUUCCAUUCAUGUUCUUUUUCCCCACAAGAAAACAAGGGACAUUUUAGCUUAAAUAUUAAGAUGAACAAUACAAGUGUUCUUAUAAAGGUAUUUUCCUUUAAAUCUUCCAGCACUUCAAAUAUAGCUGUCAGUAGCUGUAGAACAUCCCCAGGACUGUGCAGUACAGGAAACAGUGAGCCCUACAGUCUGUGUUGAGAAUGUGAGAUCUGGGAAGUCCUCAGCUCUCACUGGAAUUUGAAUGAUAGUUUCUAACACAAUCCGCUUCACCAGAAAAUACUCAAUAUUUUUUCUUGUUGUUUUAAUGCUCUAUGUUUUUCCCCUCAGUUCUACUGUUAUUGAGAAGUUGGUACAUCUACAACCUAUUACAGAUGAAAAAUAGCUACAUUUGAAAGUAGAAAAUAAAAUUGAGGGCAAUGUACAUGUGCACGUUCUUAUCCUUUAUUAACAAGAUACAGAAUGUGAAGAACAAAGUAUUCCCCAUAAUGGUGUGCAAAUCUUUUGGUUGCGUUUCAAUUAUUUUUCUGUGAGACACUAGGAAAUCUGAAUAAUGCAAUACAAGGAAUUGCAAAGUUAUUUGAAAUACACGUGAGCAAUUAGAAAGCAUCUGAACAUACAGAUAAGAAAGUGUUUUCUUUUUAAUGCUCCUCAUGAUUCAUAGAAGUCCAUUAUCAAUACAAAGCUGCCAUUAACUAUGUAUUGCAAUGCGCUUGUGGCAUCAUUAGAAGGUACCUCAGGGAGAUGGCUAUUCUUUCUUAAGGUAUAAAAAUGAUCCUUCUCCACAAACAAGCAGCACAUGAACACCACAGAAGACAUCUGCAAUCAUAGCAUUACUCAUCUUUAUGAGAUUUGGAUAUUCCAGUGCUAAAAUCUUGAAUUGCCUGAAUGUUUGAUAUUAAAGACAUACUGCAGGAACAGAUUCUCAUCUCACAUAGGUGCUGUAACUCUGGAGACACUAAGGUACUUAGUAACUGAGUUAUUUCCCUGUACAUUGAGAGAAGGAUCUCAGAAAGCGGUGUAUAAGCUGACUAGCACCGUUCCCUUUAAAACUGAGUCUCCUAUUUAUUCUCUGAGAACUGCAUCAGAAAAAAAAUAGAAAGCAUAAAAAUCAAUGUUCAUUUCCAUGGCAAAUUCUCUGUUCAUGUUCUCACCUCUACAGAUUCACUGUCCUGGCUGUACAUUUCUUGUAUUUUGUUAAGGUUAUUUUGCAUAGGUUAUAAUAAGUCAUUUAGCGGAAGAAGUAUACAUUCAAAAUAGAAUUGAAAUUGCAUAGAGAAUUUUUGGCAUCUGGAACUACAUACAGGAGUUUUGCACACAGAUGAAUUGUUGUUCACUGAUGUUUUCGCAACAACAAAGAUCUGGUCUGAGACUCAGAAAAAUCACUGGAAAUUUUCCUAACAUCUUUUGCAAGACUCAGAUCUGGCCCUGUAGGGACUUCAGUAUCCACCGUGUCUUAUCACAUUUUGAUCACAGGAGAAAGAACAGAAAAAUCUGAGCUGAUUGGAACAUGUUUGUUUAAAUAUGUACAUUUGUAUCCAUAUGUUCUUUUUUAAAACCCUUAUGUUCUUCACUUUUAUGUGUAACAGGAACUUAACUUCAAUUUUUCUACUCGCUUUGAUGAAAUCUAAGUUGGAAUACUACAGAGAAUUAAGCGUUCAACAGGAAUAUUUGCAACUGCACAAUAUCGCAGAAACACAGAAUGGCUUGGGUUGGAAGAGAGCUUGAAGAUCACCUAGUUCCAACCCUCCUGCAGGGAUGGGGCAUCAGCAGUGUCUCUGGGCACAGAGAUGUAGAAAAACUGCUUUUGUAAAGUGAUUAAGAUUUUGAGAAAAUUAUAUGUGCUGGAAUGGCCUCCCAGAAUCAAAGGGCUUCAGAAAUGUUUAUGGAAAAAAAUCCAUUGGGUCUUCAAGAAGAAACAAAAGUAUUCACAAUUCUAACAGAAAGUAUUGGGACACGUUGUGCCUUUAAGAAAAGUAGUAACUUAGAAGAAAUCUGCAGUGGGAUUGGUAAUCACGUCUUUGGCUGUGAUAAAUCUAUCAAGGAUCAGACCAUCUUCCAGGGUGAGCUGAACUCAGUGCAUUACUGCCAUGUCAUUGUGAUGAGCUACAUGUCUGUACUUACACACUCAUUGUUUUAUCUCCCCACUGUGCAAAUCUAACAGGGCUCUGUCAGAGGAUAUACGCUGACAAUGAUCAAAGAAAUGCCCCCCAAAAGGGCAGAAAAGCACUAGGGUCAAAUAGAUAAACUUGUGCGGAUCAGAGCUGAACAUUAUAAAUGAUGGCACCACAAGAAAAGUAGAUCUGAAGUGAUUCAUUUUACAUUUCUGUUUCAGUUUUCUGAUCUGUAAAAUUGAAGGUAGUGAUACUUACUUCUGCAUUGCAGCUCCAGGGCUCCCGGAUGACAGCUGCCUUGACAAUGGCCAGAUGAGCAAGCAAGGAUACCAGAAGUGAAGCUGUGUGCAUCUCUUGCCUCUGUAAGGGUAAAAGGAACUCUUGGUCACAUCCCAACCAUGGAAAUAUCUCAAUAGUUUCAGUGUAUGAGAGAUAGAUACAAUAACAAAUAGAACAGUGAUUUUUACACCUAUGCUACAUAAUCAUUUAGCCACUUCUUCAGUUGCACAACAGAACUUUGCACUCUUUUGGAGUUUUGUUCUGCAGAGUGAAGAACAAGAGCAGUAGCUUUCAAUUAUUUUACAGGCACUGCAAUGUGGCAGCAAUGGAUUGCAGACAAUCAUGAGCCGAGUUUGAAACAGACAGCUCUAGUGCCUACAACAGGAUAAAGUGGCACAGGGAGGUCAGCACUUUAAUGCCAAGUAGGUUGUAUUUUGCCUCCCAAGCAACAUGGUCACAUGUGGAACUCCACAUAACCAUGGCUUCAAGCAUCCAGCUUUGCUAGCUUAUAUACCACUUUGCUGCAAUGAAGAGAUAUGGAAGCUACAAAGGAGGCCUAGCAAGGAGCAUUUCAUAUGCAGGCUUGAGGAUACUUAAAUAGAGUUGACUUCAAAUUGUUCUUUUGGGGGAAAAAAAAAAAAAGACAACUAAAUCAGGAGAAAACAGGAUGUAUCUGAAUUGUUCUGACAAAUUCUUAAUGAUAAUUGAAAAUAUUUUAAGUUGAAACAACUCCUUUUCCUCUCCUGCUCCUUCAAGCUCUCUAAGGCUGUGUUUAGAAAACACUGAAGUCAAACUGACCAGUUGGUAAAUGGGGGGUUCUGAAAUUAGUGAGGCUGAACCUCAGCUGAAGUUGUCUAAGCCAUUGGUUGCUGGCUUUGAAUUUGUUCUCAUAAAGUUGCUCACAGCAGCGACACAUUUGGAAAUGCAGAGAUGACUUAAGAAAAGGGUUAUAAAAGACUUUACUAAUGAAUGUGUGUCACAACUGCUUUGGCUCUUGUUCCCAUAGCAUACUUCCAACAAAAUCAAAUGUAGAUUCCUAAGGGCAUAAGUUGGAAGUCAUCCUGCCUCAAAGAGCUUGGACCUCUCUCUUAAGUAGGACAGAACUCUGCUGAGACCUCACAGAAGUAUUGACUGCAAAUGACUGUGGGCAACAAUUUCAAAGAACCUUCAGAGAUUUACUUGUAUAGUUAUUGUCUCUUAAGAGAGAGUUAUUAGGUACAGUUGCUUUAUUCAUGAAUCUCAGAAUUAAUUUUAAUCCAGCAUUCUAAUAAGUGUUCAAGGCAUUUUACUUCAUCGUUUUCAGGUCUUGUCCCCUAGACAAAAAGGUCUAUUUUUAACUUGUACCACUUCAAUCAAGUUACAACCUGAAAUUAGUAAUACAACUCAACCUACUAACUGGUGCAUGGAAUAGUUAAGAGGUCACAGUAAAUGCCAGCAGCACUUUCUGUAAAACAAAUACACAACAAGCAAAGACAAGACCAGUCAGUAAAUAAAGGUGAGUUGAAAUCAACUUUGUUGGAAAGGAGAAGUGUUAUAAUGAAAUUACAGUGCUUUGUAAGACUUAAAGUGAUGUCCACCAUAAAAGAUAAAAUUAAUUUACUGGAAAUAAACUUGUGAAUAUGAGUACCAUUUUGUGAAAGGCCAAGUUCUGACAUUUAGUAAAGCUGUAAAAAUGUUUUUGAAAGCAGCCCUUCAUUGUGAUUAUCACUGUUCUUAUGCAUUAAAAUUGAAAGAACUAAGAAAGACCAAAAAGGACUGAAAGAGUAAAAUAUUUUGCAAUUUCGAAGUAUUUGAUACAUUGAAGCUUUAAGAUGUUUUAAUACUCCUUGCUCUGCAAACAUGCUUCAGUUUGUUAAUAAAGAAAUGUUCUGAUACAAAGCAUCCACGAGGAUUAACAUGCAAAUAAAAUGCAUAUGACAAAUUA